ACGUACCCUUUAACCUAUAGCAAACAAACAAAGAAAAAAGUAAUUGGAAUUUACAUCGGGAAUGAAAAUGCAAGUAAAAUAAUUAAGUGUUCCAGAAAAAUAAAAUGAAACCACCAGAGGAAAGCAAGGCAGCUCAAUAAACAUAAUUGCUAGGCUCAACUCUAACGACAGAUAAACAAUGUUAAAUACCAUAAAAAUGAAACAACUUUAGCAAGCAGGGGACCAAAAUUAGACCAAAAAUAAUCAAACGGCAGAUGAAUCAACAUAAUUGCUAGAUUCAGCUCUAAAAAGAAACCUAAAAAUAUAGAAAUGAAGCAACUUUAGCAAUCAGCAAAGCAGAACAAGCACUAAACUAAUCAAACACCUUAAAAAAAUGGAGAAGAGCACCAUAAUAAGUAAAUAAAUAAGGAAAGGCAAAGAAAAAUAACAACAGUAAAGUAAUAAUCGAUACGAUAUACACCUCAG
rnacentral:misc_RNA from 1 species